rnacentral:rRNA from 1 species
UACAGAGGUCUCAAGCGUUGUUCGGAUUCAUUGGGCGUAAAGGGUGCGUAGGUGGCGCCAUAAGUCAGGUGUGAAUCUCGGGCUUAACUCCGAAACUGCAUUUGAUACUGUGGUGCUUGAGGACUGGAGAGGAGACUGGAAUUUACGGUGUAGCAGUGAAAUGCGUAGAGAUCGUAAGGAAGACCAGUGGCGAAGGCGGGUCUCGUGGACAGUUCCUGACACUGAGGCACGAAGGCCAGGGGAGCAAACGGGAUUAGAAACCC